GCCAGUUUCCUGCGAUAAGUCCCCGCUGAAGUGAAGACUGCCUGUCGUCACAUCAACUGCGGUCCUCGUGUUAGCAGUGUAGUGUCGUGGCCUUCUGGAGGACAGUGAUUGGCAUAAAGGCGUAGUGUUUUCACGAAGAGUAUAGUGGUCUGGUAAUAACCGCGGGAAAAAAAUUGAGAACGGCCGGAGAAGGAUGUCUACAGCGCCGACGUCCAUCUUGGGAAGCGUCCGUUGCUAGUCAUCUUCCAGAGAAAUUGCCGGUGUGGUACGGUCUGUUCUGCCCGGUGCAAGAAGGUUCGGCCAGCAUGAGUACGGUUCUGCCCUUCGCUCUGCUAUCGUGUCACGGCGCAAGGCUGGUGGCGGUGACAUGGGUCCUGACGGCCUUGGGGAGGGCACAGGUCGACGCCACGCACGUUAUAUGGGAAAACUUUAUCACAGACGGUACAGUUGCGAGUCCAUCGCGGAGAACGUGACGAGGCAGGUGCCGUUCCGGAGCCUCCUCGCCGAGGGCUUCUUCCUGCAGCUGGACAUCUACGGCACGUACACGCCUCGCCUCCUGGCGGCGCGCGCGCGCCCCUGCGUCCUGCCGGAGAGCGAAAUGUACCGCGUGAAGGAAGGCAAGAGAUACAAGGAGCAUUUCCAGGUUUUGUUCGAGACUGUGACUCCUGUGGAGGUCACCAGUGGAGGGGAAGAAGAGAAAGAAGGGGAAGGCGAGGGGGAGAAAGAGGGGAAUGAAGAGGGCGAGGAACGGGGCAGCAGAAGGAGACGUCGAGGAGAGUCGCGGCCACGUGCGAAUUCCCCGCCGAAGGAGGAGGCUUCGUGAGACUCAAGUCUGGCUACGGAUUCCUCUCGUGCCGAGGCGAGAGCGACGUGGGCGCCGCCCGGGCCGCCCUGCAGGCCUGGCGGGAGGAAGUGCGGCGAGAGGAGGCAGAGGCGGCCGCCACCAAAUCAGCAGUGAUGGGCGGCAUCGGCGGCGGUAUGGCGGCGCUGGUGCUGUUCUGCGUGCUGUGCGUGGUGCUGCGCCUGCGAGCCACGAGAGGCCGGGAGCGCUCAAGGAGGAGGACCCGCCACCUCACGCCGCCGAGGUCAGCCAGCACGAGGCUCACCAACGACCCCCUGAGCUCCACGCAGCAGUCGGGGCUCAACACACGCUCAGGGAACUCGCGUUGAGUUGUUGACGCACAGGCUUCAGUGUGGACGUUUUUUUUAUUGCCCGGAUAAACCACAAUUGACAACUCGUGAUGCUACCCGAUUGAUUAUAUUCUCCGCCUUGCCUAACUGCCUAUUGGUAAUCCAGGAUGUGGAUAAGACUUUUCGAUAUUCCUAGUAACCCCGAGUGAAAGAAUGCUUAAAAUGACUAACCGACUGUAGAUCAGGUCACAUUUAACCCAUUAUACAGCAACACAGGAGCAUAAAAAAAAAAAAACAAACAAACAAAAAACAACAACGAAAAUACGAGAGUAAACUCCAGGUGAAACUUCUAUUUUCCAACUCCAUUUUCGCAAGUUCAAGGUGUUUGUUCUGUAAUGGUAAUGCAACACGUACUUGCUGUUAUUUUAGAUUGUAAAAAAUGAUCUUAUUCUCUUCGUUAGGCUGUGGUCUAUAACUUAUUUAGUGUGAGAAUCUGAUGAAAGCCAUGUACCCCUUCACCAGAAAUAUUCACGUAAACACGAAUUUGCAUGUAAUGUGUAUAAUGUGCUUUACUGACAUUUGAUUGCCUCACAUACAGAUGAGCUACACAAAACAUUAUUCAAUUUUAAAGUAAACAACUUAAAAAAACAUUAGUAUAAAUGUUAAUUCUUGAUUCUCACGGACUCCCUGAAACCCACCCAUGGACCCCUAAGUGUUCAUGACCCUAAGGGUAAGAACACUUGCUUUAGAACAUACAUCGAACUAAGAUGUAACAGUGUGAACUAAGCAUUAUGUGAUAAAUUCGAGCAGUAAUACCUAGUCUUAAAACUCAUUCCAUUUACAUUGUAGCUAUUUAAUUUCUUUCAAUUUCUAUAAUCACAAUUCUAUUUUAUGUUUUGUUGUCUUUCAUGAUUAUUGUGAAUAUCGCUAAUGUUAUCAAUAGUUAAUUUAUUGCUACAUCGAAUACACUUUGAUGCCAUAA